rnacentral:rRNA from 1 species
GACGAACGCUGGCGGCGUGCUUAACACAUGCAAGUCGAACGGAGUACCCUCGAAAGAGAUUUCGGACAAUGGAGAGGACUACUUAGUGGCGGACGGGUGAGUAACGCGUGAAGAACCUGCCUUUCAGAGGGGGACAACAGUUGGAAACGACUGCUAAUACCGCAUAACGUACGGGUAUCGCAUGGUACUGGGACCAAAGAUUUAUCGCUGAGAGAUGGCCUCGCGUCUGAUUAGCUAGUUGGUAGGGUAACGGCCUACCAAGGCGACGAUCAGUAGCCGGACUGAGAGGUUGGCCGGCCACAUUGGGACUGAGAUACGGCCCAGACUCCUACGGGAGGCAGCAGUGGGGAAUAUUGGGCAAUGGGCGCAAGCCUGACCCAGCAACGCCGCGUGAAGGAAGAAGGCUUUCGGGUUGUAAACUUCUUUUGACAGGGAAGAGCAUAACACGGUACCUGUCGAAUAAGCCACGGCUAACUACGUGCCAGCAGCCGCGGUAAUACGUAGGUGGCAAGCGUUGUCCAGAUUUACUGGGUGUAAAGGGCGUGUAGCCGGGCUGACAAGUCAAAUGUGAAAUCCGGGGGCUCAACCCCCGAACUGCAUUUGAAACUGUUGGUCUUGAGUAUCAGAGAGGCAGGCGGAAUUCCUAGUGUAGCGGUGAAAUGCGUAGAUAUUAGGAGGAACACCAGUGGCGAAGGCGGCCUGCUGGACGACAACUGACGGUGAGGCGCGAAAGCGUGGGGAGCAAACAGGAUUAGAUACCCUGGUAGUCCACGCUGUAAACGAUGGAUACUAGGUGUGCGGGGACUGACCCCCUGCGUGCCGCAGCUAACGCAAUAAGUAUCCCACCUGGGGAGUACGAUCGCAAGGUUGAAACUCAAAGGAAUUGACGGGGGCCCGCACAAGCGGUGGAUUAUGUGGUUUAAUUCGAUGCAACGCGAAGAACCUUACCAGGGCUUGACAUCCUACUAACGAAGUAGAGAUACAUUAUGUACCCUUCGGGGGAAGUAGAGACAGGUGGUGCAUGGUUGUCGUCAGCUGGUGUCGUGAGAUGUUGGGUUAAGUCCCGCAACGAGCGCAACCCUUAUUGUUAGUUGUUACGCAAGAGCAUUCUAGCGAGACUGCCGUUGACAAAACGGAGGAAGGUGGGACGACGUCAAAUCAUCAUGCCCCUUAUGUCCUGGGCUACACACGUAAUACAAUGGCGGUCAACAGAGGGAUGCAAAACCGUGAGGUGGAGCGAACCCAUAAAAGCCGUCCCAGUUCAGAUCGCAGUCUGCAACCCGACUGCGUGAAGUCGGAAUCGCUAGUAAUCGCGGAUCAGCAUGCCGCGGUGAAUACGUUCCCGGGCCU